UCUGGCGGCUUGCGAGCUAGCUGACAAGAAACCUAGGCGGGUCGCUGGGCUGACGCUGCUGCCUAACAAGAGGGUUCUGUUGGCGGAUCUGGCAGGAAACUGUCUGAGGCUGCAUACUUAUUGGUGAAUGAAUGGAAAGGUGAAAUAAUGGAACGCUUCAUGCUGCCAUAAGGCGUAUCGUAAACGAAUUUCAUGCUAGUCGAAUAUUGCAACGGGGAAUCGAACUGAAGGCCAUACGCGUGGGCGGUACUCGUACCAAAGUCAAUAGUCGCCGCAAGGCUUCUAUCUUAUCCACAGACAUAUAUCUAGAUAGACGUCGCAUCGCGAUUUGUUAUAAAGCGAGAGGACAAUUUCAAAGAUGUGUGAGCCUCUUACAUUAGGCACUUUUACAUUAGGCUUAUAAUUUGCUUCUCACGGCGAGUUUAAUGUGACCAUUCACCGCUGACGGAACUGAAUGUGCCCUAAGCAAUUUCUAUCGAAUCUGAUAUAAAUUAAGGUCGAAUCUAGUCAGAAAUUAAUAAAUCCGUAAGAAACGCUAUUUGAACAUAAAAACCACCGCUUCACACACUGAAAAGAUUAAAAGUAAGUUCGACUACAAAUAUGUAAUAUGUGUUCCGUAGAGAAUGUUCAUUAAAUGACUCUCAAAGUAGGCGAGUUUAGGUGUUCUACUUAGAUAUAUGUCUGUGAUCUUAUAAUUUACGAUGUUCUUUAGUACUUACAGUAUUUAUUUACGUAUUAAGUCGAUUAAGUUUUUCACAAUCAUGUCAAAGUUGGCGAACUGGUUUUUUUUUGUUGGUCCUUUAACUUUUUGGUUUUUAAUAUAUUUGGCGUAUAGUGAUAAGUAUUUAUAUGAUUAUAAUUAUAAUCUUUUAAAAAAAUAUGAUAUUUAAAAGCUUCGAAAUAUUGUUACUGGCGUUAAAAAUCUCACUUUUGACUAGUCAUUCAACGGUGGCAUUUAUUGUUGUCUAAAUUAUGACACUAUUAAUCUCGAUGUGGGUAGAUAUAAAUUGUCUGCUCAGCACAAAGUCAUGACAAGGGUGGUGGCAAAUUGUGAGACUGAAAAAUCAACUCCCUGUUAAAGAGAAGCGAUUAAUCCAUACCCUCAAGUUCGUAAUUCGAUUCCAGAUACUACUAACUACGGCAUUCCUGACUAACUAUUGGCCGCCAUCUUUGAAACAAGGUUUACGUAUUGUGCGUUAAUAAUGCGAAUAAUGAUUAAUGCUACUAAACGCAUGAUCAGUAACGUUAUUCGUUGCUAAGAUCUGACAUAUUACUAUGUAUGUAGUAACAUUUAUAUUUUAUUUUUACAAAACAAGUUUCAUUAAUAGCUAUCAAAUUCAGACAGUUAAUUCAAUUUGUAUCGUUAAAAAAACUAAUAAUAUUUUUUUCUCCUAUAAGCCCCGUGCAUGAACUAUAGGGGGCAGCAUAGGAGCCGUCAGAUUUUUGGCGCGAGGCGUAGAUGUGUCGUUUAUGCUUCCGAUGCAGCCCACAAGAUGGCAGAACCUACUAUGCACAAGGAAACGUACCGACGAGAACGGUAGAUGGUAGCACUUGCUUUGCACAUUGUGCACAUGUGUUUCCGAUUCAGGCCACAAGAUGGCAGACCCUCCAACGUGCACGGUCCCUAUAUGUUUAUGAUGGUCGUAUUUGUCUAAGCCUAAUAACGUCAGUGUCUGUCUCUUUCAAUCGUGUGGUGUUAAAAAGUGACACUUGUUUUAUCACGUGGAUAAAGACAUAAGUACAUAAUACAACUGCUGGUCUGUAAUUUCUAUAAAAAUAGUUAGUUUCUGGAAUCAAAUUAUAACUGAGAGUAUACUUUCCUAAUUAUAUAUUAUUUAAGAACAAAAAUAAUGGUUAAUACUUAUGUGUGCAAUUUACCAUGAUCCUUUCUGAUGUUCAGAAUUCUUAGUUUUAAAAGCUUUGCGCACGAUAUUUUCCUAUCAGAUAUUAUUAAGUAACUAUCAAAUUUUGUAUCAACAAAUCAAUAUUCAUCUAAUUUUUAAAUUUAAGAUCGUUUUCACCCUUUACUAAUUUGCAUAGUUUUACCACUUUAUUAUAAAUUUGCUCAAUGAAUACGAAAACACCAUAUCACGUAGUUGAUGCUUCCAUUUUGCUAGUUUUAGAUGUUAAAGCAUUCAUUGUAAAAAUAAUUAAAAGGAAUAGAAGAUCUGUAGCGUUUGUUGGUAGUGUAAGUUUCUUAAGAAACGGACACUAAGAUUAGACUACGGUUUGAUCCUAAUAUCGCCAUAGUCGUGAAAGUAAUUUGUCUGAUAAAGUUAUAAUUUUACUUCAUAUCAACAAAGAGAAUUUGUAAUAGAGUUACUGUCAUGGUAAGUUAUGUAGCUACCAGUGGCGGCGCGUCAAACAUAUCCAUAGGCAAGCCGGGGCUAAUUGGCUUAUACUUAUUGCGUAAUUAUUUCCUUUACAACUCUGCUCAAACAUCCAAAAACAGGCAAGCCGGUAGGAAUCGGCUUUUAUGGACGCGCCGCCACUGGUAGCUACAGUACAUUUAUUGCCAUCUUUCGACAGAAGAUUAAACCUGUUAGAACGCCAGUUGACUUUGAUCAAACAGUUUUAUCUUCUGUCGGAAGAUGGCAGUAAAUUUACAGUGGCUACAUAAUUUACUUUGACAAUCCGCUUUAUACACUCUAUUCUCUUUGAUAUCAGUCAUAUCUCCUUAACAUUGGGAUCAACUAAAGCAAGGCAAUUUCUUCGCUGUGGCGCUAAAAGGAUUAGACGAAUUUCAUAAAAGUUGGAGUUGAAAGUGCACCAUUUUCCUAUUAUCAGUAUUGUUACUAUAAUUUUAAACGUACGACCUAAUAAUUUAAUACAAAGGUGCCAGAAUAGCGUCUGUCAACUACUACUUAAACACCAGGUACACUAUUAGAAAAGUACGUAAUCUUUACUACGCAAGUCACUUAAGAUAAAAGCGUGGAAGCCUGCUAUUCUGACAAAAAAAAUGGACUAGUGACACAGUUACCACCAUCUGUUAGUCACCUUCUAAUAUUUACCUUUAGAUAGCCACGCACGCAAUUAUAAACUUUAAUUGAAUGGUUUAAGGUUCAUUUUGUACUGUAACCUUUGUCGGCUAUAGCCGACAGUGGCGGUCUAAGGGCUAAACGCUCAUGGGUCAAAAGAUAAGACGAAGUUAUAUAACAGCCAUUUAUCUUUAUAAUUUAAGUGCAAUGUCCGAAUUAUUAUGAUUAGUUUAGCUGUAACUAUCACCCAAUACAUGUGUCGAUUUCAUCAAGAGAAUGGAAAGCCAUGGAAAUGACAACAUUGACAAUAUCAAGUCAUAUUUUGACUUGUAACGUGAUAUUAAUGUAAAGCAUUUAAUAAACACCGAAACAGUAAGAAGUACACGAACCGUGGACUGCAACGAAAAAGUUUUUUGAACAACCUUUGUAAAACACUGAUUUAAACUUUCACGAUUAUUAAACAUUAUCAAACUGCACAACGGGACUUAAUCGCGUAUUUAAGUUUUAAGAUUUACCUCCGACGUUUCGAGGACGGCGUUGUCCCCGUGGUCUCGGAGAAGACUGGCUCAAGUUGACAUCAACAUCUUCUAGCCGCGCUAGUCUUCUCCGAGACCACGGGGACAACGCCGUCCUCGAAACGUCGGAGGUAAAUCUUAAAACUUAAAUACGCGAUUAAGUCCCGUUAUGCAGUUUGAUAACCUUUGUUAAUCUUUCAAUAAUAAUUUUGUGACCGACAUGUAUUCAUUAUCCGUCAUUUUAUUUGUUGAUUUACAUGAUAUUAUGCUUUUCUUUCUUAUUAACAUGCAAUUGUUGCUUACUCUUUGUGUAGUCCACGUGCAAUAUGGUAAUAUGUAAUAUUUGUUUAGCCGAUACUUUUUACACACCAACCGAUACUAAAGGGGCCUACAGAUUACCAGUUCGCCGGGUGAUAUCAGCCUGUCAGUUGUUAGGAACUUGGCGAUUAACUGACAGGCUGAUAUCGUUCGGCGAACUGGUAAUAUGUGGGCCCCUUAAUGUCUAAAUUGUAUAACCUUACAACUCACAAAUGAGAUAUACAUAUUUGCUUUAGUUGUGCCUAAAUGAAUUUCAAUAAUGUGUUAAAAGGACUUUUUUUGAUUGGCGUUUUUUUCUCAAUAACUAAAGAGAACAUGCAUAUCGAAAGAUCUGGUGGACUGAACAUGAUAAUUGAUAAAAAAAAGAGUUGUACAGCUAUUUGAAAUGUCAUUCAAGUUGUAACAAUAAGUAAACUAAUGUAUUACAAUAUGAGGCUUUUAUCUUUAACUAGAUUAAGUCAAAAUAUUCAUAAUAAGAACAUGUAAAAGCGAUUAUUAGAAGAAGUUCAAUCAUAAUAGAAAAAGAUAUCAACACCCAGUAGGAUUUUCACAUUUACUGUUAGAAAUUAUGAUUGUUUUGUACAAAAGUUACUGUAUACUUUCAUAAUUAUGUCGAUUAUACGGCUCAAUACAUUUGAAUCAGGUUUGGGGUUGUAAAGUACCUUGAUCAUGGACCAACUACAACGUCUACAACUCUUCUAGUGGCAGCGACCUCUUGCGGAAUACACUAUACAGCCUACAGCCCGCUGAAUGACAAACGCCAUCUAAGUUUAAUACAAAAAAAAAUGUUUUCUUACGGGGUACGCUACUCAAUAUGGCGAUCGCUCGUCCUUAUAUAGGUUGGUCCAAGCCUUGAUGAAACAACUCAAUUAUGGCAUUACACAAAAUGGCAGAUUUAAAGUAAUAAGGCACGUAAUGCCAAGCAAAAGGUUAGGUUUUGGCUCAUUCAUAUUUCGAUGGAAAAUGAAUACUGGUCUACAGUUUGUACAGUGAGUGCCCCAGCUAAGAACCCACGAUGCCAUACUUAAAAUACGAGGAUACUUAGGGCACUGACUGUACAUUUAAGAGAACCCAUGGCAAUGAAAACUGUGUAUAGAAGUGACCCCAUUUUCAAUGCUUAUGAGUACCUAUAUAAAAUGGCAUACCCUUUUCAGCGCACUUGUAUGCGUGGGUAUUAACCUUGACCAUCUCACAUUUUGUCAAGCUGAAUACAUUUACAAGCCAAAACUACAUAGUAAAUAAAUUUGAAUGGCAGUAAUAAUGUUAAAUAGCACGCGUGGCUCGCUUUCUCGCUACCUUACAUGAACUCAAUGUUUGUGGCUCAAACUAUUGAUGUGUUUAUAACAAAGCAAAUUAUAUAACAACCUAUUACAAUUUGAUCAAUUUUCUUUAGCCACAUGACAGUGGACGUCAAAAACAAGUAGUCAUUUUUCGCCUUAAAACGAGGAAAUAUGGUGCAAAAGUGUUUACAUACUUUUGACGUCGACUGCACCGAUGAUCAAUCGUUGUGAAUUGCUUUGCUAUCUUUGAAAUGUAUAUUUGAAUUGUCUUGAAAUGUAUAAAGUAAGAUCUAGUCUCAAAUAGUGAUCACACUACAUUUCCUUCUAAAUAAUGUUUAUGGUGAAGUGUUUUUUGUCUUAAUCUGAUGAAUGAGACAUAGAUUACAUACAGGGCAGUACACUGUAUCUGUUUUUAGUUAGGUAUUAGCGAAAUGAAGGAUAGCACCCGACUGAAAUGACCUAUAGGUUAAGAUUUCUCAUGAUACCGCCUAAAAUUGGAAAAUAUCUAAGAUACUAUUUCUUCUAGUAACCCAUAAGUGCCACAAAUAUUUAAAACCUUUCCCAUUUUAUAUUGAGAGCUUUUACAUCUACUGCGGACGUAGUUGAUGAUAAAAGGCAGCCAGUAUAAGUUUAAUAUAUUCCUAAAAUCUCCAAGUAUCCUCCAGUAGAAAUAUCCAAAUACCUAUCCUUCAUUGCAAAAUAUAUGUAACGACUUUGUGGCGCUUAUAGGGCAAGAAGGUAUUACACGGCAAAAAACUGGUACAUUAUAGAACUAAAAUAUCAUGCGACCAAUAAGCAUACCUAAAUACGAAUGUGUAUAGGUACGAGUAUACACAUUAGGUCUUAUAUAUAAAAGUACCCGUUUUCCUUGCUCAAGUAUAGAUACUGCAGGACCUAUGUUUAAGUGAAAGUGAAAAUUAACUAUUCAAUCGCAAAAUAUUUAGGGACUAUGGAAAUUCGAACCGAGACUUUAUGAGAAGUAAAUGAAAUAACUGUCUAAAAUAUUAUUUUUGUACUAAAUGAUUUAAAGUUCCUUUGUUUCUAUCUGUCCAUUGUUAUCUACUGCUAAAUAAUGUUACAAUAGAACGUAAAAGGCUGUAGUUUCGGGAAGUAUUGUUCGUGUUACGACUGUAAUACCAUUAAUAAUCAACAUACAAGUUAGCUUGUACAUGUAUGUAUAUUUGUUAUAACUUGAUAAUAUGAUAAUAUACAGUGAACCUCACCCCUCAGUCGAGUUCUGUCAGAUUUAGCUCGUGAGCAAGAUCGAGUUUCUAUGCAAGGAACGGCAAGCAAUGUCAGAAUAACACUGACUAUAGGCAAAAAUUCAUUAAUUGUGUAAAAUGAGGAAACUUAAAGGCAAUUUCGUGCUUCGAAUUUGACAACAGAUGGCGCUGCACGGCUCCGUACAUUAUAUUAUGGUAACUUUGGUUGUCAAAAUUUAAAUAAAUAAAUGCAGUAACGGCGCCAUCUGUUUCGGCUGUGAAACUAGCGGGCACUUUUUCAACUUAGAUUUCGCCUCUACUCGUAUGUCAAUCAAUAACUCUGCGUUAUAAACCAUACUAUGAAUCUCUUUAAUUUGAGCGUUAUUAAAAAUUGCGUUAAAAGUACGUUAAUGAAAAAGAUGUUACUCCUGAUAAUCGUUGUAAAGACGACGGUUCAAAAAAUCUUAUUGCACCCAAUAAAAUAAUAGCUAUCUUCAUUAUAAAAAAUGCAUUUAAAAUACGUCAUUUUGUUGUUUCUUAAGGUGUGAAAUGUUUGAUAUACUUUUUUGUGUGCUACACAGACCUUAUUAUUUGCAGGGCAUAGUCUCUUGCUAAUUUUUUCGGGUCAUAUCAAAUGAUGUAACAUAAAUAUAUCAAACAUCUAACACCUAAAUAAAUUUAUUUCUAAUAGCUCCUUCACACUGUUUUAGACUUGGUUAGUUAAUAAUUCAGAUCAAAGUUAAAAGUUAUAGACGAAGUUAGUUGCACCGAAUAGCAUUGAGGUGGUGUGAAGGGGCUAAACUUAGUGCAUCCGUCACAAAUGCAUCUGCCACUGCCUUGUAACUCACCAGUUGGUCCUCUUAACCUUUUGACCGCCACGCUCAGCUGUAGUCGUCAUCCGAAAGAAGGACGCCAACAACGGCUACAGCCGACAGCUUCGCCAAUGCAUUAGAGACUUACGCGGGACUCUGUAAAGUUCAAUUUCGCUUAAAUAGUCGCGAUCGCCUGGCGUCCACGGCGGGGGCACGUCAUAUUCCUUCGCCCUCUGGCGUUCAAAAGGUUAAUAGAAAUCACAAUAUACACUUAAUGUUAAGGCGAAAUAGAUCAAAAUUGUUGUUACGAUAACCUUAAUAUAAAUACAGUUGCUACAGCAGAUUGGUACAAAAUAUAAGAUGUAACAGAAGCAUAUGAAAAUAAUUAUUUUUAUGCCAUAGCCAAACAGGUAUUUAGAUUGGUAGUGAAGAGUACUUGUUAAUUAAAAAAAAAGAAACUAUUUUGGCAUCAAGAAUAUUUUCUAAUCUAUUAAAAUUAAAGGAAUUGAGUAAACGCACUGUUUAUUUUAAUGUCAAAGCUCUUUGUGUUUGUCAGAAGCUGUGAAACUGUACUUAAUUUGUAAAUCACGAAGUAUCUCAGUAUACUUGUUGUCACUUUUGUGAGAGAUGAUGACGUUAAUAAAUCCUGUAAAGGUACAUAAUGA